rnacentral:ncRNA from 1 species
AUCAGCAGCCAAGCGCAUGAGCUGAAGCGCAUGCUUCAGCCGACGAGGUGGAGGUUCCCCGGCGCGAGCCGGGGCUAAUGCGGGCCUGAGUGCAGUAACGGAGCGCUCAGCAGCCGCAAAAAAUCGACAGAUCAGCGGAUGCCUCCCAGGCGCGCCACCGCCUGCAAGCGGCCAGCCAAACCCGCCCGGCGACGAGCGGAACAACGCGGCCAGCAGUGAGCA